UACGUAGGGUGCGAGCGUUGUCCGGAAUUAUUGGGCGUAAAGAGCUCGUAGGCGGUUUGUUGCGUCGGCCGUGAAAACUUGGGGCUUAACUCCGAGCUUGCGGUCGAUACGGGCAGACUUGAGUUCGGCAGGGGAGACUGGAAUUCCUGGUGUAGCGGUGAAAUGCGCAGAUAUCAGGAGGAACACCGGUGGCGAAGGCGGGUCUCUGGGCCGUAACUGACGCUGAGGAGCGAAAGCAUGGGGAGCGAACAGG
rnacentral:rRNA from 1 species